GACGAACGCUGGCGGCGUGCCUAAUACAUGCAAGUUGAGCGAUGAAGAUUGGUGCUUGCACCAAUUUGAAGAGCAGCGAACGGGUGAGUAACGCGUGGGGAAUCUGCCUUUGAGCGGGGGACAACAUUUGGAAACGAAUGCUAAUACCGCAUAACAACUUUAAACAUAAGUUUUAAGUUUGAAAGAUGCAAUUGCAUCACUCAAAGAUGAUCCCGCGUUGUAUUAGCUAGUUGGUGAGGUAAAGGCUCACCAAGGCGAUGAUACAUAGCCGACCUGAGAGGGUGAUCGGCCAAAUUGGGACUGAGACACGGCCCAAACGCCUACGGGAGGCAGCAGUAGGGAAUCCUCGGCAAUGGACGAAAGGCUGACCGAGCAACGCCGCGUGAGUGAAGAAGGUUUUCGGAUCGUAAAACUCUGUUGGUAGAGAAGAACGUUGGUGAGAGUGGAAAGCUCAUCAAGUGACGGUAACUACCCAGAAAGGGACGGCUAACUACGUG
rnacentral:rRNA from 1 species